GUGUUCGCAGAAAGGAGAGACGGUUGGCAUCUCCCCUGACAGGGACGGGAACGGCUUUCGGGCUUUCCUGUUACACAUACGGUUAAGGCUAUCUACUUAGGUAGAUCAAUACCAAAUUUUUUG